CUCAUUUAAUGGCUAGCAGCGGACAGGGAAGCAUUUUUACUUGGAGGUGCUUUCCUUUGGAUGUUUCUGGAAAGCACUGAUCCUUAGAAAAGGGUGAAUGUACAUUUAAAAUGCACGAUUGAUUAUUUAAGGAAUCUGUGAGACUUCUGGAUUCUGUACACAGAAUGAGAAAGUGGAAAAGCAACUAUUGCAUAUACAUCCCAUUUUACCCUCCAGAGCUCUCCCAUUGAUUCAAGGAAAACUGAUUGAAGAAAAUGUACUCAUUAUGCAUGGACAAAGCUUGUAGAAAGAAAUAAUAGGCUCUUGAACAGCUGAGAAGGAAGUUCUAACCUCAGAGUACCACGAGAGGUUUUUUGAGGCAACCUCAUUAUCCUUCUAAGGCUGGAACUGCAACCAGGAGUGUUGAUCCUUUCAUCUUGCAACAUGUAAGCUAUCAAGAGCUCUGCAAAUACUUGAGACCAAACUGACCUUUGGCCUUGGAAAAGCCUGAGUUCUGGGCUUGCUUGAUUGUGGAGAGAUUGGAAAUGUAGGAGAAAAGGAAACACUGGUUUGAUAGGUCACUCUGUCAUUUUACCUUCUGAAGAUCACCUUGGAAAGAACAAUCAAGCAAACAACUGGUCUGGGAGAAGCAAGUGCUAAAGCUGUGUACUUUUUAAACUGUGAGGAGAGAAUUUAUGUGAACUUUUAUUUAUUACUUAUCACCUAAGUCUUGGAGGUGAUUUGAAGCAGAAGGAAGAGGAAGGAAAAAAAAUAGAAGAGGGAUUAUUUGAAGGUGAUGGAGUUUCUGAACCUGAUUAGAGAGCGUUCUCUUGCUGCCAACUCAUACAGGAUCUUUGUCUCCUUUGCUGUUUCAGAAGAUGCUGUUCCAGAGACAGAUACUGAAAGGCCACACUGUCAAAUCUCCCAGAAACCUUCUCUUCUCCAGGCUGCACAGCCUCAGCUCCCUCAGCCUGUCCUUGAAGGAGAAGUGUUCCAUCCUUCCAUCCCUUGGAUCAUUUUUGCAUCCCUCCUCUGGAUGGACUCCAACAGAUCCACGUCUCUCCUACACUGAGGACUCCACAUCUGGAUGCAGUACUCCAGAAACAUGUCUUAUGAGAAAGAAAAAAACCACAACACUGCAGAGCAUCCAAAUCUCCUUUAAAGAUGCAGUGAUUUCCAUCAAAAGCUGUUAAGAAGAUUUGGAAAGAAAACGAUGGAACUUGCAUUUUAAUCUCACAAGCUGGCAAUAGGUUUUAAACAGCAUUGUAUGGUUGGACUGUAAGUGAUAAAAUACAGGUUGAAUUUCUUUGGAAGGCCAUUCAUGAAAAAACAACACUCUUCUAGUGUAGUCUACCAAAGAAAUCCCCUUGGAAUCCCUUGCUCUAAAUGUUCUUCCUCAUUUCUGGAUGGCUCUCAAAGUCUUUUACACCUGCAAAAAUACACUGUCGACAUUUUCUUACUUUGAAUACAGAAAAAUGUUCAGUGCAAGAGGAUGGAGAAUUAAGGCCUCCAUCUUACUGUAGUGAAAAGAAACCUAGCUUCACACUGAUCCAGAUUUUGACCUUGGAUAGGUAUCGUUAGAUCUUUUGGUUUAAUUAAAACUUAGCUCUAUGUUUCUCCACUUUGAAUGCUUUCACUGUAGUGUUCUUAAACUCUGAGUUUUAUGUAGUUGUGAGUAGGGAUUUUGAAGGCUAUUAACUCAUUGAAGUGCAAAAGUUCAUAACCUCUUACAGCAAUACACUUUUUUAUGAUUGUCAGACAGUUAGAGCUGUACAUAGCAAGCAGACUUGAAUAUGACUUUGAAGAAUUUGAGGAGAAUGCUUCAUACUCAGGGAUAAUUCUGAAGUGCAGUUAUGCCUGCCUUGUGUUGCUAUUUUUCUUGCUUCUGACUUUCAUAGAUUCACCACUUCAAUUGCUCUUGAUUAAUAGGAAAGUCAGGAAAAAUAUUAUUUUAAUAUCAUUUGCAGAGUGUACCUGACCAGCACAGGUUGUUUGAAGGAAUAGCCAGGCACUAUGCGAGAGAGAGUAAAGAAGAUAUGCCACCAUGACAGAAUGUGCAGUUGCUCCUUAAGUAAUGCCUCCUAUUUAUUUCCAUGGAAACUUCUAAGAACAGGUACAAAGUGCAGGAUAAAACUACUUGAAUAGAGCAAAUUCUCAGCUACAAAACACCAUUUUUCAACACAGUAACCACCAUUAGGUGUGCAUUUUUGCCAGUGAUGAACAAGAAUCUGCAUGCCAUGCACCAGCAGAGGUGACCAUUGUUGCCACUCUGCUGAAAUGCACCACCUACUGCCUCACUGCACUUACAUUCACUGUUUGGUCUCCAGAAAUGUCCAGCAGGCAUUGAUGAAUGUCAGUGGGAGCCAUUUUUUUUCUGCAUGAAAUAGUUAACUGACACAUCUUUCCUUCAUCUGCACUUCCAUGGCAGAUGCCAUUCUGCCAGACUUGCCUCUCUGCUGCCGUCAGUCACACAGCAGCAAAAAGUAUUGGAAUGUUGGUGGGAAGGUCCAACAUAUACUGCCAUGUCACCAACAUCUGUCUCUGAUAUUGUGGGCCACCAUCAUAACAUAGGAGGCAUUACUUUCAGAGCAGCCCUUGUGCAUCACAACACAAUACCAUGAGAACAUUUUUCACUUCUCAAAGUGGAAAGUCUGGCAAAUGCUCACAUUUGCAUAUGUGUGUGUGUAAUUUCAGAUAUAACAACUGAUCUUUCAUACAGUUCUAUACAAAUUUGCAGGGUUUUUUUCAACAUAGCAACAUCUUCUGCUACGUGGAUGACCAUGAAUAAAUGUUGUAGCAGAAUUUCAAAUAACAAGCUUGUGAACCAAUGUAAUUCCAGGGAUGCUGCUUUGAAAACAGUUGAAUUUCUCCCAGUAUUCAGCAGUAUAGCUGAGAACAGAACUUCACACUUUCUUGGUUUUGCUAGGAAAUAUAAAAUGUCAAGUAGCAAUUCAAAAAAUAUCUAAUUCUGUAGGAACCUAGGCUUUCUGCAGAUAGCUCUUUUGUUUCCUGUGAUUUUUUACCAGGUUUUAGCCAGAGCUGCUGAAGACUACAGAAAAACAGAAGGGAACACGGAUCUGAGUUACUGCCCUUUUAAUAAGAGAUCAAGCUUCUUUAAAGCCACUCUAAUUUGUGAGCAGAGAUCAAACACUUUGCUUAAGAUAAUGAGUGUAGUAAAUUUGGGAAAAAUGCUUUGAUUGCUCAGCAGUGCAUGGCUUUCUUUUUCUAAAAGAAAUGAUGUCUCAGAGAUACUACGUAAGGAUCUUGAUUAACUAUUUAGCUUCUGCAUCUGAAAGUCAAAAUGAUUUACAAGUAGUUUUGAUUUUUGGGCCAGCUAAAGUGAUCAUUGUGUGUAAUUGCCAUGUUUUACAUUUGACUUUCUGAUUAACGUUUACUAAAGAGUGUGUGUAUGUGAAUAUAUAUAUUCAUUUAACUUCCAAGCACGUUUUCAAAAUCAAGCUAGGUUGUUUUGUUCCGUGUUUUUUUUUGGGGGGG
ensembl:lncRNA